rnacentral:tmRNA from 1 species
GGGGGUGCACUGGUUUCGACGGGAUUCAGUGACGCUCUGGUAAGCACGUCCAGGGGCCGAGGCCUGGUAAAAAACGGCAAAAAAUUAACUGCAGAGAACAAAGCUGACUUUGCAUAUGCAAUGGCCGCCUAAUUAGCCGGCCGUUCGGUUUUAGGGGGCGCGCCCGCGGCCUUCUAAGACUCCAAUAGUGUGGGCUAGCUUGGAUGCUUGUCUCAGGUGUUCAAGUGAAUCGCUUUCGAGACUGGCUGAGUUUGAUCGCGCCUCCUAGAGCGGAUUCAGCGAGAUUAAAGUGGAGGCUAAACGUGUAGAAAGCUAGGGCUGAGGUUUCUCGGACGCGGGUUCGAUUCCCGCCACCUCCACCA